CACGUAGGAGGCAAGCGUUAUCCGGAUUUACUGGGCGUAAAGCGCGUGUAGGCGGCUCGGAUAGUUGGAUGUGAAAGCUCCUGGCUUAACUGGGAGAGGUCGUUCAAUACUUCCGGGCUCGAGAGUGGUAGAGGGAGGUGGAAUUCCGAGUGUAGUGGUGAAAUGCGUAGAUAUUCGGAGGAACACCAGUGGCGAAAGCGGCCUCCUGGACCAUUUCUGACGCUCAGACGCGAAAGCUAGGGUAGCAAACGGG
rnacentral:rRNA from 2 species